UUGUGUAUUGCUGUCAUUUCCAUGGGAUACUCUUUAGGGGUAUUUUUGUCAAAGUUCUCUAUCAGUCUCAACCCUAAUAUUUUACUAUAAAAAGCAUGUACUGUUCACGAGGUCAGAGUCAGUCACAAUCAUUAGCAGUCACCAAUCAAAUCAUAAACAAGUCCCAAUUUUCUCUCUCCGAAAAUUUUGAUCAAACACCACAAAAAAAGUAUGAAUAUCACCAAGAACACUCAUGAAUAUUCAUGAACAUUCAUAAUCCAUAACUUUCUCCAGAAAUCAACAUAAUCAUCAUAAACUCACAGAAUCAACUCAAAUCACCACAUAAAUACCAAAACCGAACUCAAGAACAACAACUCGGAUCCAGUACAAACGAUUUUCGGACUACAACAAAAAAGACAGUGUCGAAUCUCAGCAAGAGUUUAGAUCGGUUCAUUUCGUGACUGAUCGGAGAAGAGGAUUUUCGGAUUCGUGAAGGAUUUGAAGUUUUUUUCCGAAGACUAUUAUUACCUCCAGAUCUUAACAGAUCCAACAGAGGUAACCGCUUUCUUCCUUCCUUCUUUCCUUCAUUCAUGCUCUAAGAAAAUUCGAAACUCAUAUUGAUCUAGAUCUAAGCUUUUAUGUUUUUUUUUUUUUUUUUUUUAAAUCUAAGCUCGGUUUCGCUCUUAGCUUGAAAAAGGAU
rnacentral:lncRNA from 1 species